AUGGAGGAGGACGCCGAGGGCAUGGACCGCCUCGACAUGGACGGCGACUUCGUGGGCGGCCGCUUCGGCCGCGACGGGGAGUUCUACUACCAGAGCCGCCGCGAGCGGGCGCCCCAGACCCGCGAGGACGCGCUCUACGGCGUCUUCGGCGAGGGGGACUCCGACUACGACUCCGAGGAGGACGAGGCGUCGCGCCGGCGCCGGCGCCGCAAGCGCCGCAGGGACGACGAGCCCGACCUCACCAGGCCCGUGCAGUUCGUCUCCAAGGGCAUCAGUGCCCCAAAGCCAGAGGAGGAGGAGGAGCAGCAGAGGCCUGGGCUUGGCCAGGCCGCAUCCUCCUCGGGCACUGCUGCCGCCGCCGCCUCCGAGGAGGAUGCAGAGGAGGACCAGGAGCCAUACAUGGACCUGCCCACGGGAUUCGGGCAGAGGAUUGCCGAGGGUGCACGCGCGAGGCGGGAGGAGAAGGAGCGGCAGCAGGAGUCGGCCAAGCGCCGGCGUGGUGCAUUGGGGGCAGGGUUUGAACCUGGAAAACCGGCGCCGCCACCUGGGAGCCUGGAGUCCAACACGAAGGUGGCUAAGAUGAUGGCUAUGAUGGGGUACAAGAGAGGAGAAGGCCUCGGCAAGAAUGCUCAGGGAAUCACUGCACCAGUGGAGACCACCUUGCGCCCCAAGAACGCCGGACUCGGCAGCGUCGAGGGGUUUAAGGAGCCCAGAGCUUUCACUCCCAAGGAGAACUUGCCACCCCCACCUCCUCCACCACCUGCCAAGAAGGAAAAGCAACGGUGGUCCAAGAAGGCCAGCGCGAAGAAGGAUCAGGUCUUGACUAAGAAUGAGCUGUUGGCAAGGCGCGCCGAGCAGGAACAGGAUGAGCAACCCACAUUUGUCCAAAAGGUGAUUGACAUGCGAGGGCCUCAGGCUCGUGUGUUGACAGACUUGAAGGGGCUCAGUACUGAACAUGAGAUGGAGGCGAAUGAUGUGCCAAUGCCGGAGUUGCAGUACAAUGUGCGGCUGCUUGUUGACGAGACUGAGGCUGAUAUUGUCAGGUUGGAUGGGCAGCUGCGGCGGGAGCAGGAGAAGGUGGCUAGUUUGGUGCGAGAGAAGGAGAAAGUAGCAAAGCAGGAGGCUUUGCAGAAACACCAGCUGCAAGUUAUGGAGACAAUUGCAGAUGUGCUGGAGAAGGUCCGGGUUGAUGACACCGCUGGUUUGCUCACUCUGGGGGGGUUGCUUAAGACCUUCCAGGAAUUGAAGGUGCACUAUGAGGAGGAGUUCAAAAUGUGCAGUGUUGCAUGGGUUGCUUGCCGAUUUGCGCAUCCACUACUUAUCCGGGUAUUUCAGGGGUGGCAACCGCUGGAGAAUCCAUUGUUUGGCUUGGAGGUCAUGUCAUCGUGGAAGGAUUUGCUGCAGGGAGACCAGCCAUAUGAUUUCUCAGAUGCUACUGAAUCAAUGGCUCCAUAUGCACAGCUUGUCAGUGAGGUCAUCCUACCAGCUGUGCGGAUAUCAGGAACUAAUUCAUGGAAGGCUAGGGAUCCAGAACCAAUGCUCCGUUUUCUUGAAUCAUGGGAACGGUUGCUGCCCCCUAUCGUGCUCCAUUCAAUAUUGGAGCAUGUAAUAAUGCCAAAGCUCACAGCUGCAGUCGAAUCUUGGGACCCGCGGAGCGAGAGUGUACCAAUCCAUGUAUGGGUACACCCAUGGUUGCCAACUCUAGGGCAAAGGAUAGAGACAUUGUGCCACUCUAUCCGGUACAAGCUGAGUAGUGUCCUCCAAUUGUGGCAAGCUCACGAUUCAUCAGCUUAUGCUGUGCUAUCUCCAUGGAAGGGUGUAUUUGAUCCAGCAAGUUGGGAAGACUUGAUAGUGCGUUAUAUCAUUCCUAAACUGAAAAUGGCACUCCAGGAGUUUCAGAUUAACCCAGCAAGCCAGAAGUUUGACCAGUUUAACUGGGUUAUGAUUUGGGCUUCUGCUGUCCCGGUACACCAUAUGGUCCAUAUGUUGGAAGUUGAUUUCUUUAGCAAGUGGCAGCUGGUUUUGUACCAUUGGUUGAGCUCACCAAAUCCUGAUUUCAAUGAGAUCAUGAAUUGGUAUAAGGGCUGGAGGGGCCUUUUCCCACCAGAGUUACUUGCCAAUGAACGCAUACGGAUGCUUCUAACGGCUGGUCUUGAGAUGAUGAACCAAGCUGCUGAAGGACAUGAGUUGGCGCAGCCAGGGGCUAGGGAGAAUGUUGGCUUCUUGAGAGCAACAGAGAAGCGGCAAUUUGAUGCAGCACAGCAAGCAUCGCAAUACCCAUCUUACCAUGCUGCGCCAGGAGCAGCCAUGGGAGAUAUGAGCUUCAAGGAGUCUAUUCAGGCAUAUGCGGCUGACCAAGGUUUGUUGUUUAUGCCUAGAGUUAACAAAUCCUAUAACGGCAUGCCAGUGUACGAAUUUGGCACCGUGAGCAUUUGCAUAGACUCUGUCAAGCGACUACUCUAUGCGCAACUUCAAGAGGGAACUGAAAGAUGGAGUUCUGUGUCUCUUACACAACUGCUGGAAAUGAACCGGAUGGCAAGACCACGUUAG
rnacentral:rRNA from 1 species